rnacentral:pre_miRNA from 1 species
CAAUGGCGAUGAUGAUGAUGAUGAUGAUGAUGAUGAUGACGAUCAUCAUCAUCAUCAUCAUCAUCAUCGGAAUCG